rnacentral:rRNA from 1 species
CAGUCGCCGCGGUAAUACGAAGGGGGCUAGCGUUGUUCGGAUUUACUGGGCGUAAAGGGCGCGUAGGCGGACUGAUAAGUCAGGGGUGAAAUCCCAAGGCUCAACCUUGGAACUGCCUUUGAUACUGUUUGUCUUGAGUUCGAGAGAGGUAAGUGGAACUGCGAGUGUGGAGGUGAAAUUCGUAGAUAUUCGCAAGAACACCAGUGGCGAAGGCGGCUUACUGGCUCGAAACUGACGCUGAGGCGCGAAAGCGUGGGGAGCAAACAGGAUUAGAGACCCCAGUAGUCCCUGUCUCUUAUAC